ACGAACGCUGGCGGCGUGCCUAAUACAUGCAAGUCGAACGCUUCUUUUUCCACCGGAGCUUGCUCCACCGGAAAAAGAGGAGUGGCGAACGGGUGAGUAACACGUGGGUAACCUGCCCAUCAGAAGGGGAUAACACUUGGAAACAGGUGCUAAUACCGUAUAACAAUCGAAACCGCAUGGUUUUGAUUUGAAAGGCGCUUUCGGGUGUCGCUGAUGGAUGGACCCGCGGUGCAUUAGCUAGUUGGUGAGGUAACGGCUCACCAAGGCGACGAUGCAUAGCCGACCUGAGAGGGUGAUCGGCCACAUUGGGACUGAGACACGGCCCAAACUCCUACGGGAGGCAGCAGUAGGGAAUCUUCGGCAAUGGACGAAGGUCUGACCGAGCAACGCCGCGUGAGUGAAGAAGGUUUUCGGAUCGUAAAACUCUGUUGUUAGAGAAGAACAAGGAUGAGAGUAACUGUUCAUCCCUUGACGGUAUCUAACCAGAAAGCCACGGCUAACUACGUGCCAGCAGCCGCGGUAAUACGUAGGUGGCAAGCGUUGUCCGGAUUUAUUGGGCGUAAAGCGAGCGCAGGCGGUUUCUUAAGUCUGAUGUGAAAGCCCCCGGCUCAACCGGGGAGGGUCAUUGGAAACUGGGAGACUUGAGUGCAGAAGAGGAGAGUGGAAUUCCAUGUGUAGCGGUGAAAUGCGUAGAUAUAUGGAGGAACACCAGUGGCGAAGGCGGCUCUCUGGUCUGUAACUGACGCUGAGGCUCGAAAGCGUGGGGAGCAAACAGGAUUAGAUACCCUGGUAGUCCACGCCGUAAACGAUGAGUGCUAAGUGUUGGAGGGUUUCCGCCCUUCAGUGCUGCAGCUAACGCAUUAAGCACUCCGCCUGGGGAGUACGACCGCAAGGUUGAAACUCAAAGGAAUUGACGGGGGCCCGCACAAGCGGUGGAGCAUGUGGUUUAAUUCGAAGCAACGCGAAGAACCUUACCAGGUCUUGACAUCCUUUGACCACUCUAGAGAUAGAGCUUCCCCUUCGGGGGCAAAGUGACAGGUGGUGCAUGGUUGUCGUCAGCUCGUGUCGUGAGAUGUUGGGUUAAGUCCCGCAACGAGCGCAACCCUUAUUGUUAGUUGCCAUCAUUUAGUUGGGCACUCUAGCAAGACUGCCGGUGACAAACCGGAGGAAGGUGGGGAUGACGUCAAAUCAUCAUGCCCCUUAUGACCUGGGCUACACACGUGCUACAAUGGGAAGUACAACGAGUCGCAAAGUCGCGAGGCUAAGCUAAUCUCUUAAAGCUUCUCUCAGUUCGGAUUGUAGGCUGCAACUCGCCUACAUGAAGCCGGAAUCGCUAGUAAUCGCGGAUCAGCACGCCGCGGUGAAUACGUUCCCGGGCCUUGUACACACCGCCCGUCACACCACGAGAGUUUGUAACACCCGAAGUCGGUGAGGUAACCUUUUGGAGCCAGCCGCCUAAGGUGGGAUAGAUGAUUGGGGUG
rnacentral:rRNA from 1 species